rnacentral:rRNA from 1 species
ACGGCAGCACAGGAGAGCUUACUCUCUGGGUGGCGAGUGGCGGACGGGUGAGGAAUGCGUCGGAAUCUGCCUCUUUGUGGGGGAUAACGUAGGGAAACUUACGCUAAUACCGCAUACGACCUACGGGUGAAAGCCGGGGACCUUCGGGCCUGGCGCAGAGAGAUGAGCCGACGCCGGAUUAGCUAGUUGGCGGGGUAAAGGCCCACCAAGGCGACGAUCCGUAGCUGGUCUGAGAGGAUGAUCAGCCACACUGGAACUGAGACACGGUCCAGACUCCUACGGGAGGCAGCAGUGGGGAAUAUUGGACAAUGGGCGCAAGCCUGAUCCAGCCAUGCCGCGUGUGUGAAGAAGGCCUUCGGGUUGUAAAGCACUUUUGUCCGGAAAGAAAAGCCUUGGGCUAAUACCCUGGGGUUAUGACGGUACCGGAAGAAUAAGCACCGGCUAACUUCGUGCCAGCAGCCGCGGUAAUACGAAGGGUGCAAGCGUUACUCGGAAUUACUGGGCGUAAAGCGUGCGUAGGUGGUUUGUUAAGUCUGAUGUGAAAGCCCUGGGCUCAACCUGGGAACUGCAUUGGAUACUGGCUGACUAGAGUGCGGUAGAGGGUGGCGGAAUUCCCGGUGUAGCAGCGAAAUGCGUAGAUAUCGGGAGGAACAUCCGUGGCGAAGGCGGCCACCUGGACCAGCACUGACACUGAGGCACGAAAGCGUGGGGAGCAAACAGGAUUAGAUACCCUGGUGGUCCACGCCCUAAACGAUGCGAACUGGAUGUUGGGUGCAAUUAGGCACUCAGUAUCGAAGCUAACGCGUUAAG